GCUCGCGGCCGUACGCUUCCGAGCUGCACGCGUCUCCCCUCGCCCGACCGACCUCGUCGCCGGCGAUGGCUUCCGCGGUGGCCGCUUCGACCGCCGCUCGGUUCCUACCGCAGCUUGGGGCCUCGUGGCUGCGUCGCGCACGCGUGGCGCUCCUUCCGUCGCCGCUCCCAUGGCGGCCUCUCGCGGUCACGGUGGCCGCCGCGUCGCGGCGCCCUCGGGAUGGGGAAGGCGGGGGGCGGGGGAGAACGCGGAGGCGGCGCGCCAGGGGUGCGGAGCAGGAGGAAGGCGUCUCGCUCAGCUCCGAAAAGGACACAGUAAAUUCUACUCCAGGUGCUCAAAUCAGCAAGGGCACCGAGGCUGUACCAGAGUCCAGCAUGACCGGGAAAGGUUCGGCCAUUAGAAGGGUCACACUGGUGAUUCUCGCUGCAGUGCUUUUUGGAAUUAGCAUUGCUUUGAAGGAUGGAGCUGAAAAGGCAUCGGAGUAUUUUGCUGGGUAUUUAUUGGAACAGAGUUUGUCGGUGGACAAUCUCUUUGUUUUUGUUCUGGUUUUUAAGUAUUUCAAAGUGCCGAAGGAAUACCAGAACCGAGUACUUUCUUAUGGUAUUGCUGGAGCAGUGGUGUUCCGGACUGUGAUGAUCGUCCUUGGGGUCGCUACCAUUCAGAAAUUUGAGGCGGUGAACCUGCUGUUGGCUUUGAUCCUACUAUUCACUUCUUACAAGCUAUUUUCUGGAGAAGAAGAAGAAUCUGAUCUAUCCGAUAACUUCGUUGUGAAAACAUGCCAAAAGUUCAUUCCAGUCACUGAUUAUUAUGAUGAUGACCGGUUUUUCACUAGUCAAGAUGGCUUAUGGAAAGCCACACCAUUACUCUUGACUUUGGCAGUGAUUGAGCUGAGUGAUAUUGCUUUCGCUAUUGACUCUAUACCAGCAGUCUUCGGCGUCACAAGGGAUCCACUUAUAAUACUAUCAUCAAAUAUUUUUGCUAUUUCUGGUUUGCGGUCACUGUACGUGCUCAUUUCUGAAAGCAUGGCCGAAUUGGAGUAUCUACAGCCUGCUAUUGGUAUCGUUUUGGGCUUCAUAGGGACAAAGAUGAUCUUUGACUUUUUUGGUUAUCAUAUUCCAACAGAAGCUUCACUUGCUAUUGUUACCACCUGUCUUAGCGGAGGUGUCAUAUUAAGUCUUAGGAAAGCAUCAAAAGAGGAGGGGGACAAGUAGAGAAAUGCAACGACCUAUGCAGGUAAACUUAAGAGCCACCAAUAAUGAGGAAAUAUACUGAUUGCCAAGGCUGCCACAAGAUUGGGCUCUCAAGGGGCUGCCAUUUGUUUAAUAGGAUCUAACCAUGAAACCAUCCAGUUCCACAGGUUAGCUACACAAGUCAUGUUGCCUGUAAUGCCUCCACAAGGCUUGCCCCGUUGAUCUGGUCAGAUGCUGUUGGUAACAGGAUUACCUAAAGAGUGUACUUUUGUGAUAACCUCGCCAAGCUUUGUGCAGCUCUGUGAAAGCUUAAGUGCAGUUUUGUGUUAGUUUGCGCUCAUACAUGUUCUGGAAUUUUGAGCUUGACAAAAGUAAGGAAGCUUCUCAAGGUGGUUCAGCUUGAGCUCGUGUUAGGUUUGAAUAUCAUUGCCAUGGCUUAGCGGCCCCCUGCUUUUUAUCGAAUUUGAACCAUCAUCAUGCUGAAACCCCUGCAUCACCGCUCUAUACUGUGCUUUAAACAUCACCGCUCUGAUUGCAGUGAUCAAGAAUCAUGUCAAGUAUCAACCAUGUUUGCAACUGACGAGGACUUAGUGUACUUCAUUCACUGUUCAUGUUUGGAAGUAGGAGGCCUUGAAGACAUUUGCAAUUCACGUAACACCCUUGUUGCACUAGUGGUAGUCUCCACUACUUAGCUGACUUAAGCAGUUCAGCUGACGGCUUUGAGUAUGUGACCUCAGUAUAAAAUGGUAGAUGCGAUCAGGACAUGACAUUGAUGCCUGAUCCUGAUCUGGAAGUUCCAAUUGAAGACUGCAGGCUGAAAACAUAGGAAUCCUGCCCUUGUAAUGUCUGUUGCUUGUUAAGCUAGCACAUAGAGUACAUUCUGAACAUGAUGGGCAAUGAACUACAAUUUACAGUGUAACUCAAACAAUAGUAUGCUCCAGCUUAAUACAUUACAACAACAACAACAUAGCUUAAUACAUUACAAAAAUAUGGUUUUUUAUCAUUAUA